rnacentral:lncRNA from 1 species
AGCCAAUCAGAAACUUCGCUGACGGCGUGGUGCUCGCCGCAGAGGAUGACUGGAUAAUUCUCUUAAAGGGCGUCUCGUUUCCAAAUAUGUAAAGUGACACACACGUGACGGGAAGUCUCCACAAGAGUCAACAGCGGGGAGAGAUGACUCACUCAUUUUUACCUGAAAAUUUCUCUAGUUGCUGUGUUCCAGGCGUGGUACUAAAGUGCUCAUCUGAUUAUUGUCACUGUAUUUCAGCUCUAAAACAGGCUUAGAGAAGGUUAACAAAUGAAAGAAUAGACGUGGAGCGUCUGACUGCUCAGUCAGAAGAAUGAAGAGCAAAAGGAGCAAAUCCUAUGCCGUCUCACCACAAAUGUUACGAAUCAUUGAAAAAAUACUGAAUUGUCUUUAAAUUUACUUAAAAUCAUCAUCUUUGAAUGUAGUCUUU